UUUAGUUGUGGUGCUAACUCUAUUAGACGCUCAAAAGACUAUAUCAUGUCAUCAUACUCGCGAAUCAACAAAAAAGGUAAUUUAGUUAGGUAACUCUUCUAUUAUCGUUGUCUCCAACACUUUAUAUUAUCAUUGUUGCUUCUUUUAUUUUCUCAAAUCUCAAAUUCUCUUGGUUACAACUCGCACAUACUUAAUCUUCUUAGUAAUGCUAGAAUUGGGUUGUUUCUAAACACAAGUCCAUGUGGGUUAAACAUCCAACUCGAAAGAGCUAUUUUAUUACUUGCACAGUUACGUGAACUUAUGUGUACAAUAGGAUCACAACAAGACCACAAGUGGGCAAUGAACUAGCAUAUCAAAAGGAAAAAUCUUAAAUUAACAAAUUUAGGAAAUUGCUAUAGAAAAUAAUAGCUAAUACUAGAAUCUCAGCAAAUAUGAAAAGCAAGCCUUAUCCUUUUCCACUUAAGAAAUAGGUAAUAGAACGUUAUUACCAACUCUAGACCACCUUGAAUCCCUAAAAGGAAAAACCUACAUUCAUUAUCACAAAACACUCAACAACCUACCAAACCUUACUUAUAGGAGAGGAAAACCAACUCACCAAGCUAUCUAACAAAAAUAAAUUUGAAUCUCAAGGAAGGGAAUUCUAACUAGAUAACACUCUUCUAACCGUCAAUUAAGUUAGAAUUAAUCGACAUCAAAUCAAUAAGAAUACUAAAAAUAGUAAUAGUGACACGAUUAUAAGGUAGAAAAAAAUGAAAAUACGCAACAAGUAACACUUUAGGUCAAUAAUAAGGAAAAAUACCAAGAAAAGGGAUGUUAGCCCAAAUGUUAUACCCCAAGAAAGAACACAGUACUGAUCCACUCAAUCCAUUACUAAAAGAAAUGAUCUAUGAGGGUAAUGAAAUAUGCAUACAAUAUACACAAAUGAUACAACAACUGAAUUAGUACUAUCAAGGCAUAUAAGCACUAAUGGUUAUGAAAACUCCAACUAAAUUCAAAUAGAAAAAAGUUAGUAAAUCAUAAUGCACCUAUAAUGAUAGUGUCUUAAGUCAUAGGCAUGAUACACCAGAUUUCUUAGGUCAUGAUGGAAACUAUUUAACCCACCAGUAAGUAAGCCAACUCGCAAUUUGGAACUAUUAGUAAUGGACUACUGAGAGAAAUGAGAGGAAAAUAUGGAAUAAAUAAAAGAAAGGACUAGUAUAUAAGGUAGUCCCAAAAUCUAGUAGAAUUAGUACACGAGCUUUUAAUAUUAUAAGAAGACAAAUUAAAAUAAUAAUGAAUAUACAUGUAUUAGACAUAUCUAAAUACAACAUGGAUCUUAGUGUAAUACAUAAGAGGGGGCAUAGAAAAACUACAAAUGCCAAGAGCUUACUCUAAAUCUGUGAUCCAUAGUUGCUCCGCAUAGACACAAAUCAACAACGUGAACUUGUAUUAUGAUCUACCUGUAUCAGAAGUGCAGUCUGAAUACAAAAAAUUAUGGUACUCGGUAAGAAACUGCCGACUGAGCUCCCAAAAGAAUGCACAUAUAGAUAACAUAUAAGAAGGAAUAAAACUAUAACGAAAUAUACAAUAAUCUAACAUAGUAACACCAGGGAAGCAAUAAGGAUAAACUAUCCUAUUCUAAGAAUAUAUAACUUUACAAAAUACAAAAAACGGUUGAAAAGGGAUAUAUAGUAGUAUUUAAGGCAAGGGAAUGGAUUUACAACAACAAUAAAUGAAGGAAGAAAGAGACAUGUGCUAAUACAAAUGCUAUAAAUAUAUAUAUAUAUAUACAUAUAUAUUUAUAUGUAUAUAUAUAUAUAUUUAUAUGUAUAUAUAUAUAUUUAUAUGCAAAUAGGUUUAGAGGGCUACUCAAAGGUAAUAAGCUAUGGUAAUUAAUCUAGCAUCUUAAGGAGCCCUAAUAAAGUAGAAAAAACUAAGACUAGAAUGAUCUGGUCCUAUAACCAUAAUGUCCAACCAUAAUAUAUUUAUCCAUAAUAAUAACCAUAAAGAAAAAGAAAUAAGAAUCCGACAACAAAUCUUCAUACCAGUAUAAUAAAUAACCUACCACAAACUAACUAUAAUAGCAACAAUAUAGUAUCCACCUAGUCUAGACAAAUUAAUACCAUAAUUGAGCCCCAUAACCCAAAAGGCUCAAUCACCACACAACACAACACAAGCAACGUAAUUAAACAAUACCUAUGCAAACAGAUAAAAGAUUUAUAAAUAUAGGAACCAAAUAACAUAUUGGUGAUAGGUAAUGUACAUGCCAUAAUGAAUACAAAGUAAAAUCCAUAAUAUCAUAAAUGAUCCACGUGUCAUAAAGUAAAAAAAUGUAUACACCUCAUCCUGCCCAGAGAAUCACAAAGGCAAGACCUAUGGUGACCAGUCAUCUCUGACACAAUGGCUCAUAGAAAAAGGGGAACAUAGGGGAAUAAGGAGUACCCAUGUACAAGCAACUAGCCCUAAUUCAUGAUUUCCAAUCAUCAUUAUCAAUAUACUUUAGCCAGUACCAGAGAGAUAUACAUAUAAUAAAUGCACAAACUCAAACUAUGACAAAAAUAUUGUAAGUCUAUUAAUCUGUUGCCCGAGAUUAAAUUCGAGACUAAAUUAGUAUCAUAGAGUAAAAAUGGUUGGAAUCUCUCUCGACCAAAACAAAUAGUGGUAGUAAAAUCAUGGAUCAGAAUCUACUAUAAUUAAAUCUAAACAUCAUUUUUAAUUUCAAAAUCUAAGAAAUCAUCCAUUAAUGUUGUGCAAUUCCCAUUGUGAAAGAUUUUUCUUUAAAGUGAAAAGUAGGAAUAAAUCCUUUUUAUGGAAAAUAGUAGUAAAACCUUGUUUUUAGUUUGACUUGUAACAUUAUAUGAGCAUGAAUGUACCAAAUCUAAGCAUGCCAUUACCAGUAUCAAAAUAAUACAUUUAUAAGAAUCUAAACGUACAUAUACUAUGACUACAUCUUUUGCAAGGAUAACACACUCUCCAAAAUUCAAUCUAAUACCAUAAUCACGUCCUUGGACCCAAUAAUGUAUAAGCAGCAUAACCAUAACACCAUAACCAUGAAAAACUAUGCUAAUCCACCGAGUCAAGUUUUAAACCUUAUACUAAAGGGGACAUAUCCUCAACUAUUUGUAACAAGCUCAUAACUAGAGUUAGAGAAUCCUAUAGGCAUAAUAUUUCAUCUUAAGGGUUGAUUCAACCUUCUAUACCUCAAAUUCAUAAUUUAGGCUAAGUCUUAAUGUUCUACCCACAGUCAUAUCCUAAUAUCCCUAUUGAAUAUUCAAUGUACAUAACACAUUAUCUGGUGAGGAAGAUAAGAUAUAAGCCUACCUCAAUGUUGAACCACAAGUCCUUGAAUCAUCCCAAAAUCAUCCUUGUUUGCUCCAUGAUCGCAAAAUGUCAGCACUCUAUCAAAAUAGUGAUCAACAUGUCAUUUAGAGUAUAGCGAGACCCAUGUUUCAAUAUAAAGGGCCGGGUUGAAAUUUUAUACAAGAAUAGGCCCACGAGGCCUAUAAUGAAAUUUUCUUUCACGAGGUCCUUGAAGGACAGAGAAUGCUCAAAAGAUAAGCAUAAAUGGUGCAUGAAUUGAGACCUAAAUCAUCUUCUAAGGUUUAUGAAUUUAAAGACCUAAUUACAAUUAUUUACCUUUAAUUAAUGUAGAAAUUGAGGGAAAAUUAAUGGGAAAUGACCAAGGAGGGUUAGGCUAUCUUACCUUAGUUUUAGUGGAUGAUUCCCUCUAUUAUUCAUCUCUUAAAGAUCCAUAAAUUGUGUAAAAAUGGUGAAGGAAAUAAUGGGAAAAGGGGUUAAUAAAUUGAUUUAUCCAUUCCUAGGUACCAAUAAUGCAGUCACCCAACCACUAAAGCGGUCUGACAUAAAGCGCGGGUACCGCUAAAGCACUCACCUUCCUGCUAAAGCGGACCUUAUCCAAAUAUAUAUGGCCUCCAAAGAGGCUCAUGGCCUGUAAAGUAUUGGCCACUAAUGCGGAUCCAUGAUAGCUAAAGCAGUCAUAUCAGAUUUUGAUAAGUCAUAAAAUAAAUUUCGAUUGGAUUCUCGAGAUUCAUUGGGAACCCUGUGCAUGCAAAUAAACUAUUCUACCACAACAAAUUCGACAUUUUAGAAAUAAUAGGCCCAUCAAAACUUUCAUCCAAUACCAUUUUGACUUAUAUGGGGCCCACAACCAAAAUUCCAUUUUUCAUAUAGUCUAUCCAAUAGCCCAAAAUAAAUAUGGAUGAAUUGGAACCUUAACAAAGCAUUCCCUAAGUAGAAAAUUAAUGUUCUAGAGUUGAUGGUGCCAUUAGAGUUCUCAUCCAAGGUUUUUUACUAGGUGUUUUAUUCCAAGACCAAUUCCUUAACAUCUAAAGCUCUAAAAUAGGGAAAUAAGCCUAAAACCUAAAUGAACUAUCUGAUACAAAAACCAUUAGUUUUCGUAAUUCACAAAUGAAAAGUAGCCAUUAUAGGGAGGCUUGAAAUUUCUUAAAUUCAUAGAAAUCGAUGAAAUAAGCUAGAAGGUCAUUACAAUGUCUACUAAUAUAAUGAUCCUGUGGGUCAUAUUCUAUAUUUUCUCUCAUUUUCUCCAUUUAGAGCUUUAUUAUAUCAUCCCCAAGUCACUUAUAACUUACUGGGACUGACAGUUUGAUUACCUAGAAGUUUAUUUAUUUUUAGAGUCAAUUCACUAUUUUAAAGUCUUUGAUGGUUCAAAUUGGAUUACCAAGCAAAAACAUUAGAUGAAAAAUCUCAAAUCCAAAAUGUAAUUGUUCAAAAAUCUCUGAAAUUUUAUUUUAGGAUAGGUGGAACAUUUGGUCAAGUCCUAAGGCACCGUGAUCAUUUUCAGCAGUAUGUGCAAAUCUCUGAAAUAUGCUCAAUAUUUAUUUAACUUUCCACGCAUCAGGCAUGUUCUAGACAUCAAUAUACAACAACGAGUACAAUAGAAUACAACUAAAUCCUCACAUCAAAGAAUUGAGCACAUUAAUAUCACAAAUUUGUAUGUGGAGAGUGAAACACCAUGGGUCCUUCCAUUAUCAUCUAAAUGCACUCUGACUAAGAUCCACUUUCUCAAUAUCCUGUAGAUUUAUUUAAUUAGUUACCACAUUCUUUAAGUAGCUAGCAUACUUAGGCAUACCCUAAGAAAUAUCCAACAAAUGAAUAUUAAUGUGAAGUUCUUUAAACAUGUCAAAGAACUUCAUAAAAUAUUCAACAUCCUUAUACUUUUUUAGCCUCUAAGAGAAUAGUGGUAGUGGUCUUUUAUUCACUUUCUCUAGAACCUUAGCUUUUGUCUAGUAAGACUUCCACAAAUUUUUUCAACGUAAUCAACUUUGGUUUGCUUGUUUUUUACUGAUUGUGGGAGUAACUGUACAUCGACCUCCUUAUUAUUCUUAUUAGUCCUUUUAAUAAGAUCUCUACCACUUCUUAAGGUAAUUUCCAUAGCUAGCUUUGGAUUUUCAUUAUCACUUGGCAAUCUACCGUAUGGUAUGGUAUUCUUUUGCUAGGCUAGUUUCCCUGAUUAUACGUGUCUCAAACUUAUUUUACGAAAUUGUUUUAUUUUUUAUAUUAGUGUUCAUAUAUUAUUGAUUGAUCAGUAUCUUUCUCAAGGUCUCCUCUAUGUCACUAGCCUGGGUGUUCUAUGUCUAUUAAAACAUGUUAUUCUGAUUGUUGACCCAUGCAUAAUUAGGCUAAGUUGGCCUUUCUGCAUUGACCAAAAAGUUUACAGACUCAAGAUUUGCCCUACAGAAAUCCACAGAGUGACCACUAUUGCAACAAAUCUCACACUAAGAUGGUGAUUGCUGAAUUACAUUAAAUUGCACCUUAGACUGAUUCACCACUAAUUUUCUAAACUAUAUAAUCAUCUAAUUCUGAAAGGCCGACAAUAGGGUGGCUAAGGUUGUGACACUAUCAACUUUAAUCAACCUAAAGGAAUUUUCACUGCACUUCUAGAUAUAUCACCAUGCCAGUCAUGAUUUCCUUGUGUAAUAUGGUUCAACAAGGUAUAGAGCUCAUCAUAUGUUUUCUCCAAUUAUUGACCACCUACAGUUGAAUCUAACAAAAUUUUCAUAGUAUGGUUAAGAGCUUCUACGGAGGUAUGAGAUAAUACGUAAUUGAUCUAUUGGUGAUAUGGAUAGUCCUAGAAAAGAGAUUUGAACCUCUUACACGUAUGAUAAAAAAAUUUAUCAGGCUUAUACUUAAAGCUCAAUAUCUCACUACAUUACAAAUUUUUUAUCCAAGUAAUCCCAAAUAGUGAUAGACCCUAUUGGCUCUGUAUUCAACCAUUUCUUCGCUACCCACAAAAGUGAGAACGGAUAAAAGUGUCAGCCUCACAUAAUUAGUAGAUACCCUAGUAGGUAUGAACAUGCCACUAAUCUCUAAAAAUUUUUUAAGUGAACAUGUGGAUUGUCAUGCGAAAAGCUGGUAAAAAGCCCCCUGCUAUGCAAAAGCUGCACCAUGUUCAUUUUUAACUAUAGCCAACCUACGACAGUAUUUUUAUAGAUAGUGGCGAUAAAAUCAGUUGCAAGGGGAUAACCAUUUUUUUAACUAUCCUAUGGGCUGUGGAUCUUUGGCCAUAGGUGUAUGAUGAUCUUCUUAUUCUUAAUUAAAUUAUGGGUUUUGGUAGAAAAGGACUACUUCUCUCCUUAAUUGGUGUAAGCACUGCUCGAUUUUAGGAUUGGUUCAACCAAGUCCAUGUCCCUUGAAAAAUUACUUGAUUUUUAAACUUGUUCCUAUAAUUUAGAAGCUAAGAUAAAGUAAAUAACACUUAUGAAAUUAAAAAAGAAAAAUAAAGCUAAGUCUAUUGCCAAUCUACAAGUCCCUGGAAAUGGCGCUAGAAAAUUGUUAUGCCCAAGCUCACACACAAGUGUACGUGGUCCACCAAGUAGUAAAAUGGUCUUAUGAAAGCCAAGUAUCAAUCCCGCGAGAACUUUUGUUAACAAUAAUCUUAUUCUAGUUUCAAUAUAAAUAUUAAACAAGUGCACACGUAACCAAAAGUAAUUGAGAGUUAAAAGUAAAAGUAAACUCAAACAAUGCACUAAUAAAAAGUUCUUGGACAAUAAAACGAAAAUUCCUACUUAGCUAUAUAACUUUUUUGGUUUAGUUUAUUUUCAUAGUUGUUGGGUCAUGGGGUUCAUAGCAUGAUUACAGUCUUUCAAACCUCUAAUCAUUUAUCAAACAUAGCCUUACGACUACAUCAUUUAGUGGGGAUAAAAGUAUUUAAUUAAAAUAGUUUGUAUUCUUAUCAUCAAUGAAUCUAAUAGUUAUAAUUAGGUAUAUUCUUAUCCUAAAAGAAAAUCCUAACUUCAAUUCAUGGAAUAUAAUGAUUACGAUCGUAUAACACAUAUCUAUCGUUCUAUCCUAUCAUUCUUCAUUUCAAGCUCACGAUGGAAUUAUGCAUUUAUCCUAAGUGUCACGAAUCCACCAGAUAUUUAAAACAAUGAUGAAUGAAUAACUAAAAAUGAAAAAAAACUAUAACCAACUUAAUUAUAUAGCAUAAGAAAUCAUGUUAUUAGCCUUAACCCUGGAAAAAAGGGUGUUUAGCCACUCAUUGACGUACAAGGAAUCAUAAAACUAUAAUCCAUGUAAUAAUCCAAGAAUAAAAUAAAUUAAAAGAGUAAAAACCCUAAUUGAAUCCUUUUUAGUCAUAUGAUAAUCCCCAUAAAUCAUCCAAGUUGUUUACACAAAAGUUCAAGUGUUCUAUUUAUAGUAGAACAAGAUUACUAAUUUUGAACUAGCUAGCGCGCCACACCCCUAUCGUGGUUACUAGGAAGAGUUGAAUGUUGCUAGCAUAUAGGAACACUGGUUUGGACAAUUUAAAUUUCAAAAAAGGUCAUUCCCAUCCCUUAUAGCUGUGGAUAGGGAGUUGAGCAGGCCAAUGAGCCCACAAAUUCCAGAUUUUGUUGUUAUUUACUCAUUGCAUUUGAUCUUUAAGUCGUUGCAUUAUGGUUGUGUUUCCACUUCAAAAAUAGCUUGGAAUUUAUCCUAACAUCAUUUUUACAAACCCAGAAAGUUCUGCAGAAAAAUAUACACAACAAAACCCUAAAGCACAGAGAAUUAAGCAAAAAGAACUACAAUGGCACAUAACUCAAGCUAAGAAACUAGUUAUCUCAUUUAAACUCUAAUUGCACUUUUUGAUUUAAAACAUUGAUUUGAACACACCUUAAAAAUCAUAAAAACAUAACUUAACACAUAGAUGCUAAUUUUUGUUAGGAUUAACUCAUUAAGCACAGAAGAAGUCCUCAAAACCAAUCUAAUUAAGGACGGAUAACGAGACAUAGGUGCAUAAAUCCACCGAAGAUAAACUACCACUUAAGAAGUAGCCGAUGAAGUGGCAAGGAGCCUCUUAACCGGCACCAUUUCAAUCGUCAAGAUAUCAGUAAAGAGACAAUAGGUCACUUAUGCGGUGACCGCUUAAACGGCACCCUUGGACUCGGGAAGGGUAUAAAUACCCCACUUGUCCCAUUUUUCACUAUUUAUCAUCCAUUCUCUAGAAUCUUAAACCAUAAAAUUGAGAAUUUUUUUGGAUAAAAUUUUUUGGUAAUUUAGGGGCUUGGGUAAAGAUUAUUCAUGCAUUUCUCCUUCAAAUUUGUGUUGAGUUCCAUUAUUUCUUGCUAGAACUCUUUUAAUUUUACUAAAUUCCCUACAAGCUUAGUGACUUGAUUUUAGCACCAUUGUAGCUCAGAAUUCCAUCAUUUUGGUGGUAAAUAUUCCUUAAGCAUAGAGGGAAAUUGAAUUUUUUUUGGAAACAUGAUUUUCAUAAAUAUGGCCCACAUGGAAUUUUAGGUAAUUUUAGACCCAAUGCUCAAUGUUCCAAUAUCUGUAUCAUUGUUCUUGUUUGUAUAUGUUGAUUGCAAUUUCAAAAGUGUGGCACAUUGUGGAAGCCUCUCAAAAAAUGAAACUGGUGAUUUAAUAGAUUAUUUUAGGCUUUUCUUCAAUGCCCAUGUAGGAAUACCUUAUUCGUAGUUUGAUCUAUCUCAUAGUAUAAUUAAGUUAUUACGCUAGAUAUUAGAUUUAGGUGCUGGCAUUAAGAAUGAGAGUAUUUGGUUUUAUUGGGUAGUCAGUCUAUCGUGGAAUCAUAGACUUGGAGUAGUAAAUGUAGAUAUUCAAGGCUUAGCUGGAUUGAUCUUUGCAUUAUUUACAGUUAGAAUGGAAAUUCCUUCAUUACUCAAGCUAGGUGAAAUAGCCCUAAUAAAGAAGAAUUGUCCUUUGUUGCUUAACUUAAGGAAAUUGCCUUAGUUUCUAUUGUUCUCGGUAGGAUUGGCUUAGUUGUUCAUGAUUGGGAAGGAAUUAUAUCUUAAGGAAAAUUAUGGAUUACUUGACAUAUUGGGAUAAACUUAGAUACCUUAGCAUAGUAUGGGUUAGAAGUUGCCUAAGAUGAUUUUUGAGGAUUAGAAGUGGGCCUCUUCGACCCAUCUUUGGUCACGACUUGUGUUACCCUUGCAGACUCAUUUACGUAUGACAUACUCUUAUUAAUGGUAGGUUUUACACUAGAAGAGGUUUAAUAUAAUUAUUUAGCAUUUUAGUUGGAUAUUGAAGUAUUGAUGCUAAUUUUUUAGUAUCUCUAAUUAUAUUGCUCAUAUGUAUGAUUAAGGAUAUACCUUAUAUGUAUUAUGUAUGACUUAUACAUGUGAUUAUUUGUAUGUCUUUUGAAUAUAAUUUAUUCUAUAACCUAUAUACAUGCUUAAUGAUACAGAUACCAAUUUGAUUAAAAUGUAAAGCUUAAAGAUAAUGACACGACCCAACUCGGGUACAUGUCGUAAUGGGCGUCCCAAGUCCGACCGAGAUCGUAGACCACACCCGCUACCAAACCCAACCUCGGGUUGUCUGUACUGAGUUGGAUGAAUUACGAGCAUAUAACAAGAUAGUGUAACACCUCAUAUAAAUACUCUGGGAUCAACCAAAUCAAGUCCAACCAUCCCAUUCCAACCGUCAAUCCAUACCAAACAAAAUUGAAACCAACCGAUCUAUAAUCCAACCAUGACCACACGAGUUCCAUAAUAAUUAUAUGUAAUUCCAAAAUAAAAUAUAAUGGAAUAGUGAGAAAUUUUGUCCAAUGAUAUCAGCCCAAAUACAAAUAGAAAUACUAAGGCUUACACCAAUACUGAUCCUGCCUAUUCCAACCCAUUGUAAUUCCACAAAAUCCUUUAAACAAAAGAAUACAAGUAUCUAGUUGGUAUAUGCCCCCAACCAUAGCCAAAACCAAUAUCUAUAAAUAAUCAAGAGUAUAAAUUAACACCCACGACAUGGGUCCUUCUAAAUAGAUGGAAGCUCACCAAUUCAAUCAAAACAUAACAACCCAGUGUCCUAAUGCUAACAAGAGGAAUAGAAUGGACGGGUGAUACAUUUCUUGGUGAUACAGUCGCCCAUAUACGUGUUAGCGAGUGAACUCUAUCUUGAACUCAGGAUAAGAAUAAAAUAAUGCAAAUUAUAAAACCAAGUAGAACCUUCCAUAUGUACAUAGACCAUACAUAUAUAUAUAUAACCAUGCUGGGAAAGGAAAUCGAGUUUAGCAUGCCAUUAAAACCUUUACCUGGGCUGCAUAGCUUUGCCAUCCUAAAACUACCCACAGGCAAUAAGGGUUCAGCUCCCCCUGCUGAAAGAGCCCAAGUGCUUGAAGUUGCACCACUAGAGAAAAGAACCUGGGAUGAAUAGUACAUCCUCCAAAAUAUAAAGUAUGAAAUCAUGCACACAGUUACUAGGACCUAACCUCAUAUCGACAAUUAUGAAUUUCCAGUUUUAUCCCCCCAGGACCUCCACCUUCCAUGACUUUACCACCCCUCCUUUAAGCCUAAUUGAAACCAUUACCAAGAAACCAAAAAAUUUAGGUGGUGGUAUCGUGAUACCGAGUAUAACUUACAAAUAUUGUCCUUAGCCAAACCUUUUUGAGAUCAAGGGAUCCCCAGGUACCCAUAGAUCAUAUUAUCCAAUUAAUUUAGGGGAUUCCCAUGUAACCCAAAAGUAUGUUUACUAAGCCAUACCAUUCUAGAACCAUUUAAAGCAUUCAUAUCAUUUAGGGUUCCAUUACCAAGUUUAAACUAUGCAUAAAUUCCAUUGAAAAACCAAUAUUAUAGUCAAAGCAUUAUUAUAGGAAUUUUAUCAAACUCAUUGGGGGUAGUAUUUUCAAAACCAAAGUCCAUUACCAAAUAACGAUUCCCAUGCAACCAAUUAUCCAAAACCACCGUUAAUACAUAUAAAAACAUAAUUAAAAUAUGGGAAAACCAUAAACAAGCAUUUAUAACCAAAACCCCCAAAUUAUAUUUGAAAACCAAAAAUCAUAUCAAAUUUAAAUCAUUAAAACAUUUGAUAAAACCAUGCCUUUAGUUGGAACUAACAAUAAGAGAAGAGUACAUGCCUUAAACCAGAUGACGAUGGAGAUUAAUCACCAAGAUAGUCCCUAAUUUACUCCUUAAGAUAAAACCUUAUCUUCCUUUGCCCAAGAACUAUAGAGAGGAUGUAAGAGUGGUUUCUAAGUUUUUAUCAAGGGAAUACUAGGGAAAAUAACUUACCAAUAGGAAUAUAAGUCAUGGGACCUCAUUAGGAUAAGUAGGGAAAUGUCCAAAUUGCCCUAACUUAAACUGCACUUAAUUCCCAUCAUAAGAUACGACUGGCCCUUAUGAGUUGUACCCAUCCUAUACGAAUGGUACCCAUCUCUCAUACCCUUGGAUUUCUCUAUUAGAUCAAAUAUUGUCCAAGGUAAGGCAUACCUAAACCCAAGUCUAAUCUAAGUGUAUGACUUGUACACAUAAAUCGUACCCAUAGUAGAGUAGAAUCUAGGAGGUUUGAACACUAACCACCAUACGAGUCUUGGGUAUAACUCGUACCCUGGCUUAUGGCUCAUGGUGAGCCACUCAUAAUGAGAUCCAACCUAAUUUAUCAAGUCUAUGGUAAAAUGAGUAAACCAAACAACCCCUAUCAACCGAUAUAACUCGUAUCACCCAAGUCGUAGCAAUUCCGGUAAGUAAAUCCACCCCACUAACCAAGACUGGUCAGCAUAUGACUGGACUAUACCACCUGUACCCAAGUGUACGACAAGUUCCCUAAGUUGUAUCUUUCCCAAAAACGAAAAAUCAAGGAAAUUUUCUAAGGUCCAGAAACUAGGGUGUUUUAGUCUUCUCCACUAGGAACAUUCAUCGCCAAAUGAGGGACAAGAUAGGGGUAACCACACAAACAAGUCAUUUGCAUGAUCAAAUAUAUAUCCAAUCUUAACAAAGUUUGUAAAUAGAGAUUCAAAGAUUUUAGUUUAUCCUUUAACAAACUCAGAAAAUAAAUAUGUGUUGAAGAACACAUACCUUCAGCACGAAUACUAGGAGAAUAAACUAGAUGCAUCUAGUUGGACUUUAUGUCCUUCUCUGCUUCCCAUGUAUCUUCUUCAACCUUAUGGUUCCAUGAAAGAACCUUAACCAAAGCCACAUCCUUGGUUCGCAGUCGACGAACCUGCCUAUCCAAGAUCUCAGCUAGGACCUCUUCAUAAGACAAAGAGUUUGAGACACCCAACCCCUCCAUAGGAACAAUUGUACAAGGAUACCAAUGCACUUCCUUAACAUAGAAACAUGAAAUACUGGAUGAACGAAUAUCAAAGUAGAAGGCAACUCGACUUCAUAGGCCACAUUACCAACCCUUUGCAGAACCAUAUAAAGACCAACAAAUAGGGGACUGAGCUUCCCCUUCUUACAAAAUCGCAUUACUCCCUUCAUGGGAGAUACCUUUAGGAAUACCUUAUACUCAACCUCAAACUCAAAGUCUCUAUAUUUUACAUAAGCAUAGGACUUCUUGUCACUUUGGACAGCCUUAAACCUAUCCUGGAUCACCUUCAACUUUUCCAUAGCCUGAUAUACCAAAUCCAAAUCGAACAUAUAUGCCUCACCAAGCACAAACCCACCAAUAGGUGAUCUACUCCUCCUACCAUACAAUGCCUAAAAAGGGGCUAUACCAAUACUAGAAUGAUAGCUAUUGUUGCAAGAAAACUAUACCAAAGUUAGAUGCUCAACCCAAAUACCACCAUAAUCAAUCAUACAUUCCCAAAGCAUAUACUCUAACAUCUGAAUUAUCUUCUCUAUUUACCUAUCUAAAUGCAGAAGAAAAGCAAAAGUUACACUACCUUGGUACCUAACCCUUUCUCGAAAGACUGCCAAAAAUGAGAUGAAAAUUACCUACUACAAUCAGAGAUAAUCGAAACAGGUACCCCAUGCAACUUUACAAUAUCCUGAAGGUACAACUUUGCAAAAUCCUCUGUUGAAAAGGUAGUCUUCACUGGCAAGAAUUGAGAAGACUUUGUCAAUCUAUCCACAAUGAGCCAAACCAAAUCAAAUUGGUUCCUCAAUUGAGAAAUGUCGGUAAUGAAAUCCAUAUUGAUUACCUCCCAUUUCCAUUUGGGAAAAUCAAUUUCUUGAUACAACCCAUCCGGCCUUAUGUGCUCAACUUUAACUUGUUUACAUACCAUUCACUUGGCCACAAAAUCAGCCACAUCUGUUUUCAUACCAUUCAACCAAUAUUACUACUUGAGAUCAUGAUACAUCUUCAUUGAACUGGGAUGUACAAUGUAGCAUGAUAUAUGUGCCUCAACCAUGAUCUUUUUCCAUAAGUCAUCGACAUCAGGAAUGCACAACCUUCCUUGAUAUGUUGAAAUGCCAUCACCACUGAUCUCAAAGACCAUUACCUUUUGUAUACCACACUGCUAUUGAUUUUUAUCAAAAUAUUAUCUAGUACUUGCUUCUUCUUAACCUCUACACCAAAAGACAAUCAAACCAUUUUACCAUCACCCUACUAUCCUCAAAGUCCAAAAGGAAAACUCUAAGAUUAGCUAGAUGGUGAAUAUCCUUCACCAAUUCCUACUUUCCUUUCCCCACACAAGCCAAACUCCCCUUGAACAAACUACUAAGAGCAUCAACAACCAUGUUAGGUUUACCUUGGUUUUAGUGAGGACUCAUAUCAUAUCCCUUGAGAAGCUCCAACCAUUUACUCUGACUGAGAUUAACCUCCUUCUGAGUGAGCAAAUAUGAUGGAUUAUUAUGAACAGAAAAUGUGUCUAUGUGCACUCCAUACAAAUAAUAUCAUGAGAAUUUUAAAGCACCACCAACAGCUCUAAAUCAUGAUUAGGAUAAUUUAUUUCAUACAUCUUUAACUUCCUAGAAGCAUAGGCAAUCACCUUCUUAUGCUGCAUGAAGACACAACCAAGUCCCAUCCUAGAUGCAUCAAAAUAAACCAAAAAUCCCUCACUGCCCUUAGGCAAUGUCAAAACUGGAGUCAAAGUUAGCUUAUCUUUAAACUUCUCAAAACUUCCCUCAUAAGCAUUCGACUAAGAAAACUUAACCUUUUUCUGAGUCAACUUACUCAAAGGAACAUCUAUCAUUGGAAAAUACCCAUCCACACCCAAGAAGCUAUGAAUUUCGGUUGGAGUCUUGGGUCUAGGCCACCUCUUAACCACCACCACCUUUUAUAGAUCCACUAUGAUCCCCUCACUAGAAAUAUUAUAAACAAAAAAAGUCACAACGUUAAAAUAGAACUAAUUUUUAAAGAACUUGACUUUCAACUAAUGUUCCUUAAAGGUCUUUAAUAGUACACGAAGGUGAGAAGCAUGAUCCAUCUCACUCUUGGAAUAAACCAGGCUGUCAUAAAUAAACACAAUGACAAAGAGAUAUAAGAGCUUCCUAAAAACUCUAUUCAUCAAAUCCAUAAAUAUCGAUGGGGCAUUAUUCAAACCAAAUGACAUUACCAAGAAUUCAAAAUUCCAAUACAAAGUAUGAAAAGUCGUCUUAUGGAUAUCUUCCUCUCUAAUUUUAAGUUAAUAAUACCCAGACCAAAGAUCUAUCUUAGAGAAUAACUUUUCACCUUGUAACUGAUCAAACAAGCUAUCUAUCCUUGGAAAGGGAUAAUUGGUCUUGAUCAUCACCUUAUUUAACUGCUAAUAGUCAUUGCAUGUUUGAAGGGAACUAUCAUUCUUCCUCAAGAACAACAAUGGUGCACCCUGAGGAUACACUAGGAUGAAUAAACCUCUUAUCUAGAAGAUCCUUAAGUUACUCCUUGAGUUUCCUCAACUCAAUCGUAGCCAUUAUAUAAAGAGGAAUAUAUAUUGGAUGAGUUUCUGGAACCAAAUCAAUAAAAAAUCCUAUCAAGAGGAACACUAGGAAAAUUAUCUAAAAAGACCCUAGGAAACUCAUUUACUAUUUAAACCAAAUUGAAAGAAAAAACUUUUGAGUUAGAAUCUUUAACCAAAAAAUAUGCUGAAGACAACCUUUGGAGAUCAAUCUCCAAGAUCUAAGAUAAGAAAUAAACCUCCCCCUAGGAGAUAGGGCACCACCCACCCAUUCUAUAACCAGUUCAGUACAGAACCUAAUGUCAACCUUAUGAGUCUGACAAUCCACAGACACAUAACAAGAGUGUAACUAGUCCAUCCCCAGAAUAACAUCAAGAUCCACUAAAUCUAGCUAAAACAUAACUACCAAGGUCUACUUUCCAUCAACAGAUAGCACACCUCCUUAUAGACUCUCUCAGCAAUAACUGAGUCACCUAAUGGGGUAGAAAUAAAAAAAAAAUCUAAAAUAAGCUUAGGAUCAAUACAAUACCUACAACCAUAAAUGGGGUCACAUAAGAAAGAGUGGACCUUAGAUCAAGAAGAAACUACAUGUCUCAAGAAAAGACUCAUAAUGUAACAGUAACAACAUUAGGUGAUACCUCCAAUACCUGCUGAGAUAUAAGAGCAUACAACCUAUUUUGGUCUGUGUCAGUUCCUGAAAUGGGAGAAGACACCAAAGAUGCACUACUAGGUGUAGGAGCAGAAGAUGAAGAAACUGGAGCUUUGACCACUUCUGAAGCUCCCUUACCAAUUGGAUAAUUUCUAAGCAUAUGGUCUAGUUGGCCACAUUUAAAACACUUAUCACUGCCUUUGUCACAAUAGUUGUAAUAAAGAUGACCAUAGAACCGACAAAGAAGGCAUAAAGAAGCCGAAAAAUACCUACUCACCUAACAUUGUGACCUUUGGGCCAUAAAAUUAUCACCAACUUAUGGAUACCUAUCAGUAGACUUCCUCGGGUAAGAAACUCUAUCAGUAGAGAAAGAACCAGAACUUUGCUACUUUUUCAUCCACCAUUUACCGCAAUCUCGGCGACCUUGCUGUUAGGAAUCACUCUACUCAGAGAACCUUUUCCCAUUACCCACAUUAGUCACCUCACCCUUAGUAAGACUAGUACCUAUAGAGAAAAUCCAUUACAAUCGAUGAUAAGACCCAGAGAACAAGUGCAAACUCUAAGUAUAGGAUGUACCCUAUCAACAUCAUCCCAAGAUUGGACGGGAAAAUUUCCUUGUAUCCCAGAUCAUUAAGGCAUGAUUUGAAAAAUGAAUAACAUAGGAUUAGAGAUGAUUCAAGGACAUAGACUCUAAUUUUGAAUAUAGAAUUCCAAGAAAGUCAAACAUUAUAAAUGCCAUGUAGGCUUUCUCUUAUGAGAGUGGCAUGCUAUACAUACCUAAAAGAGACUCUACUAGACACAUCUUUGUAGACUCAUAAUUGACUAUGAACCUAAAGCUCUGAUACAAUAUUUAUAUGAAAUGACCUAGGGCAUUAUUGUAAUAGGCAUCCUAAGUCAGACCAGGAUCAAAGACCGCUCCCGCUACCUAACCCAAUCACUAGCCGUCUGCCCUGAGUUGGCUGAAUUUCUAGCAUAUAAAAAGAUAGUGUAAUGACUUAUUUAAAGACUCUGGUAUAGGAUCAUGACCGUGACUAACCCAACUGAGUCCAACCAUCCCAUAACAACCACCCAAACAUAUUCAAUCAAAUUGAAAAAAACUGAUCCAUAAUCCAAACCAUGACCAUAUGAGCUCAAUAAUAAUUAUAUAUAAUCCCAAAUAAAAUAUGAUGGAACAAUGAGAAAUUUUUUCUAAUAAUGAUAGCCCCAAUACCAAUACUAAUACUAAGGCUAAAACCAAUACUGUUCCUGCCUAUUCUAACCUAUAGUACUUCCACAAAAGCCUCUAAAAAAGAAUACAAAUUUUUGGUUGGGACAUGCCCCCAAUCAUAGCCAAAACCAAUAUCCAUAAAUAAUCCAGAGUACGAAAUAACAUCAUGAAAUAUAGACGUCCAAAUAAAUGGAUGCUAACAACUUCAAUCCAAAGUUGACCCCCAAGUGUCUAAAUUCUAAGAAGGAGGAGUAGAACGAUUGGUUCCUACAAUAUGUGGGGAUACAACCAACCAAAGAUGGGUUAAGGGUGAACGCUAGCAUGAACUUAGGAUAAAGAUAAAAUAAUGAUAAUGGUAAAACCAAGUAAGACCAUCCAUAUACACAAAAACCAUUCAAAUAUAUAUAACUAUGCCAAGAAAGGGAAUCGAGUUUAGCAUGCUAUUAAAACCUUUACCUAGGCUAUGUAGCCUUGCCAUCUUAAAACUACGCAUAGGAUAUAUAAGUAUAUCUCCCCCUAUUGAAAGGUCCUUAAUAUGUCAAGCCACACUACUAGAGAAAAAAACCUGGGAUGACUAGUAAAUCUUUAAAAAUAUAAAGUGUGACGUCAUGCACAGGGUCACUAGGACCAAACCUCAUAUUGACAAUUAUGAGUUUCAAGUUUUGAUCCCCCGGGACCUCCAUCUUCUACGAAUUAGCUAAAUACCCUUCUUUAAGCUAUAUUAAAAUAAUUAGAAAGCAACCAAACCAUUUUUUAUUUAUUAUUAAUCAAGGCUAUUAGUAGUGGUGUAAUCAUACUGACUAUAACUUGCAAGUAUUAUCCUUAGCCAAUCCUUUUUAAGAUCAUCAAAUUCGCAUAUACCCAUAGAUCAUAUUAUAAAAUUAACUUUGUUGAUUCCCAUGUAUCCCACAUGUAUGUUUAUUAAGCCAAACCAUUCCAAAACCAUUUAAACCAUUCAUAUCAUUUACGGUUCCAUUACCUAGUUUAAACCAUGCAUAAAUUCAAUUAAAAAACCAAUAUUACAGUCCAAGAAUUGUUAUAGGCAUUUUAUCAACAUAUUAGGGGCAUAGUAUUUAAAAAAUCAAAGUAAAUUAUAAAAUGACCGUUCCCAUGCAAACAACUGUCCAAAACCAGCAGUAAUGCAUAUAAAAGCAUAAUUAAAACAUAGAAAAACCAUAACCAUACAUUUAUAACCAAAACCACUAAAUUAUAUUUGAAAACCUAAAAUCAUACAACAUUCAAAUCAUGAAAGCAUUGUAUAAAACCAUACCCUUAAUUUGAACUAACAAUGAGGAACAAUAACAUGCCUUAAACUAAUAUUAUAAUGGAGAUAAAUUACCAAGAAAAGCCUCGAUGUACUCCUUAAUAUGAAACCCUAGCUUCCUUUACUUGUGAACUCUAAAGAGGAUUUAAAAGUGUUUUCUAGGUAUUUAGGAAAUGGAAUAUUAGGAAAAAUAUCCUUCUAAUUGGAAUAUAGGUUGUGGGAACUUAUUAGGAAAACUGGGAAAUACCUAGAUUGUCGGGACUUAACCUGCACUUAAUUCCCAUCAUAGGGUAUAACUCACCCUUAUGAGUCAUACCCAUCUUGUACGAAUGGUACCCAAAUCUAGUACCUUUGGCUUUACCCAAUGGACCAAACACUUUCCAAAGUAUUACACAUCCAAACCCAAGUCAUAUCCAAGUGUACAACUAGUACCCAAAAGUUAUACCCCUAGCAAAAUAAAUUAAAGGGGUUUGAAUACUGAUAAUCAUACGAGUCUUGGUUAUGACUCGUACCCUAAAUUAUGUCUUAGUGUGAGCCACUCGUACUCAAAUCCAACCUAAGUUAUCAAUUCUAAGGUUAAAUAAAAAAUCCGAAAAAUUUAUAUCUACCAAUAAGAUUGGUACCACUCAAGUCAUACACAUUUAAAUAACUAAAUACAUCUCACCAAAUAGCACUGAUUAUCAUACGACUGGACCAUACAACUCGUACACAAGUGUACGACUCAUGCCCUAAGUUUUAUCUUUCCUAGAAACCAUAAAUUAAAGAUAUUUUCUAAGGUCUAGAAACCAAGAUAUUUUAAAUAAGAUAUGACCUAUGUACUUGAUAUUUCCUAGAAGUGUGAUAUGACAUAUAUAUAUAUAAAAUGCUCAUAGAUAUUGUUUGACUUAUAAUAUGAUAUAUCUUAUGGGUAUAAUAUGGCUCAAAGAUAUAAUAUGAUUUAUAAAUAUUAAUGUCUUAUAGAUAUUAACAUCAUAUAGAUAUGAUUGGUGGUGUAUACAUAUGACUCUUGAUUUGAAUUCUAGUAAUGUUUAAUAGUAUUGGUUAUAGAAAUUAGUAUAGAUAAAGAUUCCAGAUAUGGCUUAUAGAAGUAAUUAUGGAUGAGAACUAUACAUAUGAUUUCAGUGUAAAUAAAUUAGUAAUAAGAUACUUUAUAGCUAUGAUUUAUUGGCAUACUAAUUAUUUAGAGUGAAAUUUUAGUGACUCAAGGCAAGAUGAGGAGGUGGUGGUGAAGUUGGACUCUCAGGCAGUUUGCAAGAGGGAUAGUUUUAAUUAUCUUGGGUCUAUGAUCCAGGGAAAUAGAGAGAUUGAUGAGGAUGUCUCGCACCAUAUUGGGGCAGGUUGGAUGAAAUAAAGGCUCACUUUGGGUAUUUUUAUAAUAAGAAGGUGCCUCCCAAGCUUAAACACAAAUUCUAUAGAGUUGCAGUCCGACCAGGUAUGUUGUAUGGAGCGGAGUGUUGGCCAGUUAAGACUUCCCAUAUCUAAAAGUUGAAGGUAACAGAAAUAAGGAUGUUGCAUUGGAUGUGUGGCCUUACAGAGGCUAAUAGGGUUAGGAAUGAAAUUAUUUGAGAGAAGGUGGGAGUGGUAUUAGUGGAGGAAAAAAUGCGAGAAGUGAGGUUGAUAUGGUUUGGUUAUGUGAUGAGGAGGGGUACGGAUGCCCCAAUUAAUAAGUGUGGAAGACUAGCGUUAUAUGGUUUCAAACGAGGUAGGGGUAGACCAAAGAAAUGCUGGAGAGAAGUGAUUAGAUGUGACAUAGAGCAGUUACAUGUCACUAAGGACAUAACCCUGGAUAGGAAAGUUUGGAGGAAAAAUACUAGGAUAGAGGGAUAAGGUGGGGGGAUGAAUCAUAGUCCAUAUUAGGAUGGUUUUGGUGUCUUUUGUUUGGUAAUGUACAUUAUUUUUCUGGAUGUAUCUAUGUUAGUUUUAUCAUGUUUCGUGCUCUAAAUAUUUUUGUAUAUUGUCCUGUGUAUUGAGCUGGGGGUCUAUCGAAAACAACCUCUCUACUUCUUUAGAUGUAGUAUAGACUGCGUACAUUCUACCCUCCCCAGACCCCACUAGGUGGGAAUACUGGGUUUGUUAUUAUGGUAAUCUAUUAAUUUUAGCUUAUUGAAAUGGCUCACUAAAAUGGUUUACUAAUACAGUCUAUAAAAAUGUGUUCUUGGUCAAGUCUGAUGAUUUCUGAUGAUUUUGAUGAUAUGUGUUUUAGAUGGAUUCCCACAAAAUUUCUGAUAAUUAUAAUGAUGCUACUGAGUUCCUGUAGGAGUACGACACUAAGGAUUGUCUAUAAUUUCAUACGGGAUGGAUGGAUUCUUGGUUAUGGCAUGACAGUUUGUAAAUUAUGGUUAUACAAUUAUUAGCUUUCUUUGUUGUACCCUUAAGGCUUAUGGGGUCCGACAUUGGGUAAUUUACUUUUCUGCACAUAUUCGCUUAUGUGGGCCGAUAAUGUAGAUAAUGGUAUGAUCUUUAUGUUAUGAUUAUAACAUGUAUUUAUUUAUCUAUGUACGGUAGUGUCAAAGCUUAUUUUCAUGUUUGCUCUUUUAAUCUUUACUUAGUUUAUGUUAUCUUGUAUCCUAUCAUAUUUAUAUAAUAAUAUAGCUUAUUUGGCCGAUGAUGCCCAUUUGGUACCCAUGGUUUUUGUACUCACACUACUCUUCUAUGCCUUUUUGGUGAACAUUUAAGUAGUAGUUGUCAUCGCUGAUUUUAUGUUCGUGUAGAGUUGAUUUUAGAGAUUAGUGAGCUCUUUGAGUAAGUGUUUUGCUUUUUCCUUCUAUGUAUCUAUAUCUAGACUUUUAUUUUUGAGGUAGAUUGUAUUUGAAUAUUCAAUACUUAUAGUUUGUUGUAGAAGAACUUGUAUCGACAUUACGGAUUCUUGGAAUACUUUUUGGCUUUCUAUCUACCUAUUAGACAUUUAUCACUGUAUUUUGCUAUUUGAAGCUUUAAUUUUUAAUUUUCAGCAUUUAGGACAUUUUAACCAAGUUAUCUCGCUACACCCAAAGUUGGGCUAUGGUUCGAUUUACCUUAUCGCAGAAUAGGAUAGGUGCCAUCAUGACUCAUGAAUUGGAUCAUGACAAAUUGAUAUCUGAGCCAGCUUUUAUCAGUAUUUUUUGUACAAGAGCAAGUUCCUAGUGAAGUAUCAUGGAUUAAAACAAUGAUUAUCGUUUCUUAUCUUUGAGUGGCUAUAGUUCAUUAUUAAGAGUUUUUCACUUCAGUAACUUAUCUCAAUCUAAGAGCCUAAGUUGGUUUGUCAAUCAUUCCAUUAGUUUAAUUCUUUUACAGAUGGCUAUGAUGUGUGCCAUUUCUACAUAAGAUGAUGGUCCUGAGAUCGACCCUAGGGAUCCUUUCACUAUUUCUAGAUCACCUAGAGGUCGUGGAGAGGCUUAAGAUAUAUCCCUUAUUAGGGUAUAGAAUAGAAGGACUUUACUCAAUAAUAUUUCUACUCCCUAUACAGAGAUUCUUUCACCAAAGCAAGCAGUAGGCUAGGGACUAGCCCAGGCUCCACUAGGAUUUAUUUCUUCUUUAGUCCUUAGAUAAGUAUUGGUUCUUCUUUUGGGAUUUGGUGGGGUGCACCAUCAAAUGAUGCAUAGUCUAUAAAUCAUAAUGUUACUAAGGCGAGGGAGCAACCUGCAACUGAGUUUCCUAGAGUUGUGAUUUCUCUAUAAUCGGUGGUUGCUCAAACUGUAGUUUCUCAGCCACUAGUUUCCCAGCCUAUUAUGUCUGCUAAGGAGUAGAUGACAUUGGUCAGAUUCCUAUAAUUGGCUUCGCCUAUGAUUUUUAGUGCACCGGUUGAGGAUGCUUAUAAGUUUCCGAUUGUUUGUAUGGAUAUGAUCUAUAAUUUGGACGUAGUUAUGACUCAUUGUGUGGAUUGGUGGAGAGGUCAUCUGUAUUCCAAAUUAUCUUAAUCUUUGAGUUGUUGUGAUUUCAUAGCACUUUUUAUGAUUAAAAUAAUGAAAAUAUGCAAAUUACUUAAGUUAUUUUAUUAGAUAUGACGUGUAUUGUGUUGUUUUUUUCAAGAAAUUAUGUUUUGGAACUAUUUUGAAGAAAAAGAGUGAAAAUUGAAAUUUUGGACCACUUAAUUGGGCACCUACAACCAGUGUGCACUACCUACAGAGCGUAGGUGCCAAAGUAUGUGUCAGAGCUUGAGAAACUAAGGCUCAAAAGCAUAAAAAAGACCCUGCUACAUAUAGAGAGCACGUACGGUUUGUUAGUGUAAGAAUAUAUUCCAAAAGAGCUAAGUCUCGAGAUUAAUCAAAAGAGUUUGAUGUCAAGGCACCUACGUGCGAUCACCUACCCAUAAACCUCAGUUUUCCUUCUUUGUUUAGGAGUUAUUCCCUAGAGUUUCCUUGUAUUGUAUAUAUACCCUUUCGACAUUUUAGUUAAUUUCAUUACUGGAUUACAUUUUGCUCUUGGGAUUUAUUCAUUCUUGAUUUUUGUUCAUAAUUUAAUUAGAAUACUUGAGUUUUAUUCGUUAUUCAUUGUGAUAUUGAUUUUACGUUUUCAAUAUGAAUUACAUUAAUUAUUUCAGAAUAAUGAGUGGACAAAGACCUUAGCUAGGGUUGUGGGAACACCUGAAGAUUACUUAAGUAAAGGAAGUGCUAAGUUGUUGUAAACUAAUAUUCGUGCAUGUAUUCUAGUUGUCUUCAGUUUAAUUGAUUACUUAAUAGAUGCAAACAUUAGGAUUUCGCCUUAUAUUUAUUACAUACAUCACAAGAGGAGUAUAGAUUAGGAAAAUAUAAUUAUAAUAGAAAUUAGAAGAUAACUGCAAUAAUAUUCUUAUCUGCAUUAUCUACUUAAGAUGAUUAUUAUUGAUCUAAUAACUUGAUACUCAAAAGGUAAUAGUAAAUUUGGGAUAUAGGAUAAGUGUUAGUAACAUACUGAGAUUCAAAAGGUAUAUAACUUAUUAAAUUAUGCAUGCAAGAUAUGGGUUUGUUCAGCAAAGCACUGUAAACCUAUAAAGUUAAAAACCUAAAGAGAACACAGUCCUAGUGUUCAUUUUUGACUGAUUACAAUAAAAACACGCAUUGCUUAUUACUUUCCACGUAUUACUAGAAUAAUCCCAACCAUUUACUUUUAAUACUACUAGUUGACUUCAGGAAACUAGAGAUAUAAUGUACAUAUUCCUUGUGGGUUUUACCCCAACUGGAGUUGGGUUACUAUAUUUAGCAUCAACUGGUUUAGCCUUGUUUGGAGGUGUAUCUUUGAGUGACAUCAACAUUUUAGUGUCAUUGCCAUGGAAUAUGGUAUGAUUAUUAAUUGAAGGUUGUUGACAUUUUUGGGUUUAGUUUUUUAUUUUGAGUUGGGUGUAUGCUGGUGUAUACCUUACACCAACAGUCAAGGAAAUCCUUUGCUCCCACUACUUCCUAACCUAGUGAAAAUUUUAUUUAUAAAUCGUACAAUGAUAGAACAUGUACGUGAAGGGUAUAUUAAAGGGGUUUGGAAUGAUCCUGAUGUUAUGCCUCCUCAUCCUGAGAUUGUUCAAAACAUUAUUAAUCAGAGAACUGGGCUAUUAUUAGCAGAAGAUACCACCAAGAGGAGGGAACUAGAUGUUCAUGAGGCAGAGCUAGUUAGGCAUAAACAAGAAGCAAGCCAUUGAGAAAUAAUCAGCAGAAAUUGACAUAGAACUAUAGGUGGUAGAGCUUAACUAAUCCUAUCCUACCAGUAAUUACUCCCAUAUGAUGAUCGAAAAUUGGAUAUGGGAUACAUUCAGCCUGCCGAUAAAGGAUUCAUCAUCCCUCUUACUUUCCAACCAUGUAUGAACAUCACUAGUAUUAUGAAUCGCUCUUGAAUCGGAAUGGUGUGUUUGUGGGUUUUGCUACAGAUGAUUUGAACAUACAUCUUGCAAACUUUAUUAUAAUUUGAACUUCAUACACUAUACCUAUGGUAGAUCAGGAAGAACUUAGACUGAGGUUGUUCCCUUUUUCAUUGACUGGAGAAACUUCAUUGUGGUUGGGAGAAAUUCCUCAAGGGUCGAUUACUACUUACAAUGUGUUAUACAGGAAAUUUUUAGAUUUUUUAUCCCCUCUGACAAGAAUGUUGCAAUAUAAAGAUGAGAUAUAAUACAUUUGGUAGCUAUAUUAUGAGUCGAUGUAUGAGCCAUGGUUCGAAUUUUAGAUGAUGUUGAGUAUUAUUAGUCAUGGUUACUAUUUUAGAUAAAGUUGAGAAUGGUUCCCAAUUAUAGCAUUUCAGGGAAUAAUUUUCUUAAGAUGUUUUAUCGAGCCCUGACUAUCGGUUCCUGAGCUAUAGAAGAUACUAUCAUUAGAGGAGCAUUCAUGCAUUUACUCUGGGAAGUAUCAUCAAAUAUUUUAGACUAGAUCUCUCCUACCAACUUAGGGAGGAAUACUUAGAAGGUAGAGAGAGGUAGGUGGUUGAACUUAUACUAUUGGGGCUUCCAGUGACCAUUGAGUGGUUGAAGAUUAUAUGACAUAAUAUAUUGCAUAACUUUGAACUGAUAUUGUGAUCCUAAAAUAGCAGUUCACAAAUAUGAAUUCUAAGAAGGUUAAUAUAGUAGGUUCAAAGGUUAAGGCCUCUAAAUUUGAAGAAGAGCCAAAGUAACUAAGUAACAAAUUGGUGGUUUUCCGAUCCAAAGGGCUAGGAAACCAAUGUUAGAACUAGUAUAGAUAUAAGUAUAGAGAUCGAAGUAGAGAGCGUGAAAGUGAUAGGAUAACAAAAGAUAAAUAGAAGAAGAAGGGGUAUAGGUUUAUUCCACUAGGCAGUUGUGAUACCGAGUUGAGGAUAGAGACUAUGUUUUCCAUGAUGGUUAAGGGGAAAAAUAGUUGGCAAACUUUCCUUAAGGAGAUUAAGGCUAUUAUAUGAAGAUUGACCAAAAAGGUGGAAUUACAUUGUACUACAAUAAAGCAAUUAGAGCAGCAGUUUGGGCAAAUGUCUAUAACUUUGAAUUAGAGGCAGUCGGGCAUGCUUCCAUGUAACAUAAUUUAAAAUACCAAAAAUAACGGUCAUUGUCUAUCCAUAACUACACAAAGUGAUAAGACUACUAUUUAUCCCACUUUGACUUCUAUUCAUAAGAAUAAGAAUAAUAGUUAUGUGGUUAAGGAUAGACUUAAGACGGGGUUGUAAAAGGUGACAUGUAUUGCUGGGAAGGACAAAGAUAAGGGAAAGGUCGAUGAGUAUAAAGUGAAGACAAUCCCAUGACAUCCCCUACCUUUUCCAUAAAGGAUAAAAUAAAAGAAAAGGAAAUUUCAUGAAGUUUAUUCCUAUGCUUAAAGAGUUAUGAUUGAACAUCCCUCUUCUUGAGGCUUCAGUGUAGAUGCCUGAUGUGUUAUGUAUUUAUACCACUUUUGACACUUAAAACUAUGAAAAUAUGCAUGAUUCUUAGGUUGUAAUGUUACAUAAGAUAUGGUUUGGAUAUGUUUUGUAGGAAAUUAAGUUUCUGAUGCUAUGUUUAAGAAAAGGAUGAAAAUGAGGUUUUUGGCUACUUUAGAAUUUUUGGGUAUAUGGCACUUACCGAGCGUAUGUGACAAAAACAUGUACUAGAACUUGAAGUCUAGUGCUUGUUGGAAAUUGAAGUCUCUGGAACACACAUAGAUCCACUUGUGGACCAUAUAUAGUACUUACAAACUAUAAAAGGCUAAGGUAAGUGCCAGAGUUAAUGAUCCAGAGAGUACAAAGCUGCAGGAAAAUUUUUUGACACUUACCUGGGUCCACUUGCUGACCGUAGUAGUACUUACGAUCUGUAAGUGGACCCCGGUAAGUGGCUACCGACUCUAUUUUUUCUUUUACAUUUGAACUUUUAGUUUUACAGUUUCCUCAUAUUUUAUAAAUACCUCUUAUGUAAUUUUUAGACAAGGUUACACACUUUCUGAUAUUAUUUUAUGAACUUUCACAUAUUGUGAUCUUUGGAAUUAUUGUAUUGGAGAUUUUGGUUGAUAAUUCAGUUUCCAACUUUGGUUUUUGAUCAUUGAUUAUUGUGAUACUACUUUAAUGCUUUCAAUUAUUAAAUCCAUUGGUUGUUUCACAAUCAUGAGUGGCUAAAAUCCCUAGCUAGGGUUGUGGGAACCCUAGCAUAUUGAUCAAGUCGAUGAAGUAUGAAGUUGUUCUAAACUGGUACUCAUGCAUGUAUUGUAUUAUAUCAAGUUUAAUAGUUGUCUUAGCGGUUGAAAAUGUUAGAAUCCUACCUAGAUAUUCCUAUUCACUCCAAAAGAGAAGUAGGGUGUAGGAAGAGAUAAUAAUAACAGUAAUUUGGGUACUAAUCACUGAUAUAAGCUUACUAGUACUAUUUUCUUAAGAUGGUUAUCUUUCAUAUAAUAACUUUAGACCCACAAGGUGAUAGUUUACUGGGAUCUAGGAUACGUGUUAGGAAUACGACAUCCUAAGACUCAAAAUAUAAAAGGUGAAAUUCAUCAGUGAGUCAACAAGACAGUUGAUACUACAUAACUUAUAAGGUUCUUCAUACAAGGUACUGGAUUGGUUCAGAUGAGCACUAUAAAUUUACGGAUGUGAGAUACAGGGGUAACACAACUACAAUGCUUGUUUCCUAUUGAUUUUAAUCAAAUUCUGCAUUCUGUUAUCUACAAUUACUUGAUACUACUAAACCCCUAUUUAUUUUUUGUACCUUUUUGUUGAAUACAGAAAAAUAAGAUAUGAUACAUAUAGUCCCUGUUAGUACAACCCCAACCUUGUUGGGUUAAUAUACUAACAAAGACCACUCUUAUACUCAUAUUAGAGGUAUAGUUUUGGCAUGCAUCAAAAUUUUUUCUUUGUUUCCAGGGUAUACAUUGUUGAGUAGAAUUAAGUCACUAAAGUUUACGGGUUUUUAUUCUUGUUAUUUGUUAGGUAUAUGCUGGUGAAUGUGUAACACCAUAAUUAUAGGCAAUUCCUUACUCUUAAGUUAUUCAGAGCCCGAGACAAUACUACAUACACCGUACAAGUUUACUGAAGUUGUGCUUAAUGGUGUUCCAGUAGGGGUUUGAAACCCCCAUAAUAUACCUACUCCAAAUAAAGACCCAUAAAAUAUUGCUAAUAGAUAGACUGAGCAGUUGUUUGUACAUGUUUAAAACUAUAAGAGACAAGAGGAUGCAUGGCACUUAGCUCCAUAGAAAGGGCUAUCUAGGAAAAUAUAAAAUAGAGACAAAAGAAAACCUUAGUAGAGAUAGAGAAAUAUAGGGUAAAUAUCAGAUACUGCAAGCUUAUUAGUAUUUACCAACCUAUGAGAAUGAGGACGAUAUGGUAUAUGUUGAUUCUGCAGAGAUAUGGGCAAUUAUUCCAGUUGCCCUACCUCUGAAUUUAAAAUUUGAAAUAACUAGUACUAUGAUUCAAUUAUUCAACCUGAGAGGUGUGUUCGCAAACUUACCAACAGAUGAUGCAAAUCUACACCGUGCUAAUUUCAUAGGGAUCUUCAAUUUCUAUAAUAUUUCUGGGGUAGAUAUGAAGGUUUUGAGGUUAAAGUUGUUCCCCUAGUUUUUAUAUGAAGAAGAUUUAGUAUGGUUAGCGGAUCUUCCUCAAAGAUCAUUAACCAUGUGGAAUAAGUUACAUAAACAAUUCUUUGAUUGGUUUUUUCCACCAUAAAAAAUAUUUUAGUUUAAGGAUGAUAUUUAAUACAUAAGAUAUCUGCCUGGAGAAUCUAUGUAUGAGGCAUCGUUUUUUAUUCAAGAAGAAGCUAAGUAUGGUGCUCGGUCAUUGAAUUUUAUGGACAAACUUAUUAGAGAUAUUCUAUAGAGCCCUAUCGAUCUGUGCUAGAAUAAUGUUGGAUACCAUCAUUGGAGGUGCAUUUAUAAGACUAUGCUGGCAGUAGCUUUUGAUGUUUUACACCAGAUCAAUCAUAAAUCAAAUAUGAAAUACUCAAGAUGAUAAAAGUUGUUCUGGCACAUAUUCCAUUUAUACAUCUAGUGAUCAUAGACCAGUUGAUGCUACCGUAUCACAAGAAGUAACACAAUUCAAAACAGAGAUUGGGUUGCUUACUAAGUAGUUUGCAAUAAUGAAUUUUUAAAAUAUGAAUAUAGUAGGAGCAUAUGGUUCGAAUUUGAGAGAUUAUGAUGUUGACUUGGAAAGGGAAGCCAAGUAUCUUGUUCAACACAUAGAAGGUUUUGAGUUGAAGAGCAAGGAAAUUAAGGUAGAAACUAUAAAGUGAUAGAUAUAGGGACCGUAAUAGGAGCAAGAUGGUGACUUAAGAAAAAAAGAUGACUACAAAUAGAACAGAGAUAGGUAUAUUCCACCAGGCAAUAGGGAUACAAAAUCUAGAUUGGAAGCAAUACUGACAAAGAUGGUGAAAGGCCAAAAAAAUUCAGGAGAACAACCUUAAGGGAAUUAAAGUUGACAUUUUAGGAUGAUCCAGAAGGUCAAAUCUCAUGUGAUUGCAAUCAACUAGUUAGAGACACAAUUUUUAUAGAUAUCUACCAUGUAAAAACAAAUUUCCCUUGUCACCCUUCCAUGUGAAAAAGAUUAGAGUACACAAGCUAUAAGUCAUUAACUAGAAAUUAACACUAGAAGUGGUGCCCUCACUGAUGAUUUUCCUUUGUAGAAUACUGUAGAGCUGAUGAAAAAUAACACUAUGUUAAAUGAGACCCCUAUAGUAGAAUUUGAGAAGCUGGCAUAUAGUGAUGAUAAUUAUAAGAGUGAUGACGGUAAUGAUUAGGACGAUGAUGGAUCUCAUGAUGUUGUAUCUCAUUAUAGUGUAGUCCCGACCUUACCACUAAUAGAGUAAAAAAAGGACCCUAGAGCGAUCACUGUUUCACAUUUUAUUCUGUCUUUUGAUAAUAAAUAAGCACUAUGUGAUUUGGGAGCUAGCAUCAACUUAUUGCCACUAGUAAUAUACAAGGUGUUUGGUUUGGGAGCACUCAAGCCUAAAUCAACAUGGAUACAGAUGGUUGAUUCAUCUACAAUGAAACUAAUGGUUAUUUUGUGUAAUGUAGAGGUAAAGGUGGCAUCAUUUAUAUCACUAACAAUUUUGUAUUUUUUUUCUGUGAUGUGGACAACAAAGCCCCUAUCAUUUUGGCUAUACCCUUUCUUUUAAUGACCAGGGUAGUGAUUGAUAUGGACUUAGAAGUAAUAAACUUCAAAAAGAAUGAUUAGAAAGUAGUUAUUAUGUGUGUUUCACACUACAAAAACCAGAUGAUAUUAGAGUAGCCAUGGUAAUGGACACUAUUAAUAAUGAUGUGGUUGCUAAGACUGUACUAAUUGAGGUGAGGCUUAGGGUCGAAGCAUUGGAAGCAGUGAUCGUUAAUUUUGAGAGUGGUGGUAUUAAAGAAUAUGAUGAGAUGGUGAAUAUACUAAAAAAUAUGGGUGCUUACAUACAUGCUCUAAAAAAGCUUAACCUGGAUCUGAAGAAUAUAACUAUACAUCCUACAAGCCCAUUUAUAGAGGACCCGUCAAUAUUGGAACUAAAAUCCCUCCUAUGUUAUGUGAAGUAUGCAUUUUUAGGGGAUGACAAUACCUUACCAAUAAUUAUUUCUAUAGAUCUAAUAGUAUCAUAUAUUAAAAUAUUGAAUCGGUGUUAUUAAAGUUCAAAAGAGAUGUAGGAAGGACCAUAGAAGAUAUAUUUGGUAUUCCACUAGGUAUAUGCACUCACUAGAUGUAGCUUGAGCCAGAAUAUAUUCCCUUUGUUGAACAUCAGGGAUGGUUGAAUCCUCCUACGUAAGAGGCGGUGAUAAAAGAAAUCAUAAAUUGGCUUGAUGCUAUAGUUGUUUGCCCCAUUGCAGAUAGAAAAUAGGUUAUCCCAAUUUAAUGCAAGCCAAAGAAGGGUGGAAUCAUAGUUUUCCCCAUUAAAAAAAUUCACUUGUGCCCAUGAUACUAGUGAUUAGUUUGAGAGUGUGCAUGGAUUAUAAGAAGUUGAACACUUGAACACAAACACACCACUUCCCCAUGCCUUUCAUGGACGAAAUGUUGGACAGAUUAGCAAGACGGGGUUUAUACUAUUUUUUGUAUGGGUACUCGGGCAACAAUCAUAUUACCAUUUAUCCCAAUGACUAAGAAAUUACAACAUUCACUUGCACCUAUGGGACCUUUGCCUUCAAGAGAAUGCAAUUUGUAUUAUGCAACACCUUUGCCACCUUUUAGUGAUUUAUGAUGUCUAUAUUUUCUAACAUGUUGGAGGAUAUGAUCGAGGUUUUCAUGAAUGACUUCUCAGUUGUUGGAUACUUCUUUAAAGAUUGUUUGGCCCAUCUAGCCAUUACACUAUAGGGAUUUAAAGAGUGCAACUUGGUGCUUAAUUUGGAGAGCUACCAUUUUAUGGAUAAAAAAGAUCUCAUUCUCAAGCAUAAGAUUUUAAAACAUGGCAUUGAGGUAGAUAAGUAAAAUAUCAAAUUUAUUAAGAAACUAUAACCGCCAAUUUCAGCAUAUGGCUUUAAAAGUUUUCUAGGGCAUACGAGGUUUUACAUGUAAUUCAACAAGGAUUUCUUAAAGAUAGUAAAUCCUCUAUGAAAGAUUCUUGGGAAAAAUUUGAAGUUUGAUUUUGAUGAUAAAUGUCCUAAGGCUUUCAAGGGUCUAUACGAACAGCAGGUGUCAACCCCUAUUAAUAUAUCACGUAACUGGUUUGCUCUAUUUGAGGUCAUGUGUGAUGCGAGUGGGGUAGAUUUGGGUGCUACCUUUGGAAAAAGAAGAUAGAAGAUCUUACAACCAAUCAAUUAUGCUAGUAAGUGCUAAAACCCACACGGUGAAAGUAUACUACUAUGGUGUGGUGGUUUUUUCCUUCGAAUAAUUCUGAUCCUAUUUGAUUGGGUGUAAGGUCAUAGUUCACACAAAUCAAAUAGAUUUAUGAUAUUUGAUGGUGAAGAAAGAUGAAAAUCAAAGAAUAAUUUGUUGGGUUGUAUUUCUGCAUGAAUUUUAUUUUUAAGUGAAGGAUGGAAAGGGCACUAAAAUCCAAGGAACAAAUCAUUUAUCAUGGUUGGAAAAAGAAGCAAAGUAGAAAUAAAGGGAUAUGUUUUAAAUAGAUGAAAAUUUUAUAGAUGGGCAGGUGUUGGCAGUAUCUAAAGACGUAAUCCCAUAAUUUGUUGAUUUUUCCUAUUAUUAGGCAAGCGAUGUUAUCUUAGAAGACCUAUCCUUCCAUCAUCACAAGAUAUUAAUGUAUGAGGUAAGGAAGUUCUUUUGGUAUUAAUCAUAUGUUUUAAUGGUUUGUGCUAAUGGUGUGGUAUAGAGUUGUACCCUUGAUGUUGAGAUUCUGAGUAUUCUUAAAGCUUGCAUUGCAUCACGAAUUGGGGGUCAUCAUAGUGGAACCUGGAAAGCCCCUAAAAUAAUUACAGUGUUAUUUUUACUAGCCUAAAAUUUACAAGGAUACUUACCACUUAACAUAGUAUUGUGAUCAAUGUCAUAGAAAGGGUAGUAUCUCUUGGCUCCAUGAACUCCCCAUAACUCCUAUCCUAGAGUAAAAGUUAUUUGAUGUAUAAUGCAUUGACUUCGUGGGCCCAUUUUUGAGCUCCAACAAUAUGAAAUAUAUUAUAGUAGGAGUUAAAUAUCUGUCAAAAUGGUAGUAGGCAAUUACGCUUCCAAACAAUGAAGGUAGGAGUGCCUUUGCAUUUCUGAAAAGAAAUAUUUUUAUCUUGAUUUGUCACUACAAGGGCAAUUAUUUAUGAUGGUGGGUCAUAAUUUUACAAUCAAUUAUUAAAAUCCUUCCUUGACAACUAUAGUAUGAAGCAUAGGGUUUCAUCACCUUAUCAUCCUAAGACUAGAAGGAAGGUUGAUGUCUCUAACAGAGAAAUCAAGUCCAUAUUGAUGAAGACUAUGAAUACAAACAAGAAUGAUUCAAUAAGAAAUAUAGAUGAUGCUUUGUGGUCCUACAGAACUGCUUAUAAAACUCCUAUAGGUUCCUUCCUAUAUCAUCUUGUGUAUGAAAGCCAUUCCACUUGUCGGUUGAACUUGAUCAUAGAGAAUUAUGGGUCUUGAAAGGGCUAAACUUGGAGUGGCAUGAUAUAGCAACAUCGAGAUUUAGGAAGAUGAAUGAUUUGGAUGAAUUUUGGCUCCAUGCCAAUGAAAGUUCUACUAUAAAAUAAAAACGAUGAAGUUGUAUCAUGAAAAAAAUUCAAGAAAAGGGCAUUUGAUCUCGGUGAUUUGGUCAUGUUGUUUAACUCAAUACUUUAUUUAUUCCCUGGAAAAUUAAGUUCCAGAUGGAAUAGGUCAUUCACUGUGGUUUAGGGUUUCUCACAUGAUGGUUUAGAACUGAAAUCAAAAAGUGAAGGCCCAUUCAAAGUGAACGGGUAGUGAUUGAAGCACUAUGUAGGAAUCCUGAAUGAAGUAAAAGUACAUAUCGAUAUAGACCUUGGUGAAGUCAAAGUAACCAAGGCAUAUAAGUCUUGUCGUGAUGAUAGAUUAGGCGCUGCUUUGGAGGCAACCAAAGGUAAAAAAAAAAUUGAUGUUGACACUGAUGCAUAGUGCGUCAUAGGUAUGUUCUCACUUUAUUUGGUUAUACUUUAUUUUUUCACAUUGGGGAUAAUACACAGUCUCUUAGUUGGGGGUGGGGGUAAACCAUAGCCUCCAUGGCUUUUUGUUGUCAUGGUUCUUUUUCUAUCAACCUCAGUAUGGUUGUAGAACUAACAUGUCUAGGUUUAAAUUUGUUUCAUGAGGUGUUUUUUCAUGUUGUGAUAUGUUUUGUUAUGUCACUAGGUGAGUUUUUACUUAUCUAGGGAAGUUGGCUUAUUUUGAUUUUGAUUUUUGAAAAAAAAAAAGACAUCCCUCCAAAAAUUAUUUUUGCCUUGUGUAUAAUGUAUAUUUAUGUGAUAUUCCUGAAUCUUGUUUUGGCAUUAGUAUUAGGGACAUGAUAAUGUUACCUAAUAAUUGCAUUUAUCAGUUAGGUUCGAGCUUUGUGAUAUAAUUUUGUGUCAUAUGUGUGUGAGAUACUACCGAGUUCCCUUUGUAUGUUAAAUCCAUAUUUGCUUGAUUAGUCUUUCCAAGGUUGUGAGAUAGUAGAUUAGGAAAGGAUCAUAGGCCAUUUUGUAUUUUAGUCCAUUUUUAGCGGACAUGACCUUCCCUUUGUGAAAUAUUAUCCUUUGAUCCCUGUUUUGAAUGUUAUAGCCUUUUGACCUUCCCAUUUGUAUUAUAAUAAACUUGUUUUGUUCCUGCUCCUUCUUGGACAUUGUGAACCUUAACUAAGGUAAGUCGCCUAAUUUAUGGUCGACUAUAAUAGGGGUGUGUAAUGUAUAAUGGGUAUGAAUAAAGGAAAAAUAAAAGAUAAAAAAGUAGGGCUGGGUGUGGUAGCAAAAGAAAAAGAAAAGAAAGGAAUGAAAAAGUUGAAAAUGAAGAAUAAGUAAACCACACCUAACCUGAAUAUGCUUUCAGUUAAAAACGGAGAAAUAAGGGAGAAAAUAAAAUAAAAGAUUUGGUUGAUAAAUAAGACCCCAAACUUAGUGUAGUGCCCAAGAGGCUUGGUCACUUGAUAUCUAUAUGUACCAUACAAGCUACAAGCCUACAAUACAAGAUGAGAAAAGUCCUAUAGUGAUACUGACUUGAUUGUCUAAAAGCCUAGGUAUAUAAAAUAAGCGCAAGCCUAUGGUAUUUGAUAUGUAGUGGUUGGACCUUCUCUUUUGUGCAUGAAUGUCUCUUAACCUUCCCCACAUUGAUAUGCAUUAUUCAAUAUGAAAGAAGUGGGACUGAUUAGAUGUGAGUGAACAUGGAUUAUAUUGCUAGUUGCAUACUUGUUUAGGUAAAUAUAGAUUUUAAAUAUAUAUGGUUAUCUGUUGCUAAUGUGAUUUCCAUAAUUGGAUUCCAUUGUGUCAUACUAUUGACCCUCAUGUAUACACACAGUUGGAUUUUAAGUGUUAAACUUGGAGAAGGUAAAGUAUUUUUAACUUAGAUGAUAAUUGAUUGCCUUGGAUAUCUUAGAUUCUCCUAGUUAAGCUUCAAGUUUUGUCUUUAUUUUAUUUUUUGGCCUGAGGAGAUGCAAUGUUCUAUGUUGAGGGUAUUGAUGAGCUAUGAAUUUAUAGCACUUUUUGUGAUUAAAACUAUGAAAAUAUGCAUGAUUCUUAGGGAGUUUAGUUAGAUAUGAUGUGUUUUUGUUAUGUUUUGCAGGAAAUUAGGUUUUUGAUGCUAAGUUCCAGAAAAAAAUGAAAAAUGAGGUUUUUUGCUACUUCAUCAUUUUUAGGCAUAUGUGAUCAAACCAUGUACUAGAACUUAAAGUCCAGAGGGUUGGUUGCAGAAAAUAGAAGACUUUGUCUACUUGCAGAACUUAUGUAGUAUUCAAGGAUCGUAAGUGGCUAUGGUAAGUCCCAGAAUUACAGAUCAAGGGAGUACAAAGAUGCAGAAAAAUUUUAUGGCACAUACCUGGGUCUACUUGUGGACUUUUAAUAGUACUUACGUGUUGUAAGUAGCCAAAGAAAGUGGCCAUCGGCACCAUUUUUUUUUUAUCUUUGACUUUUAGAGUUUCCUCGUGUACUAUAAAUACAAUUUAUGUGUUUUUUAGCUAAGUUUACGCACUUUUUGAUAUUAUUUUACAAACCUUAACAUAUUGUGAUCUUUUGAAUUCUUGUAUUGGAGAUUUUGGUAUAUAAUUCAGUUUCAAAAUUUGGGUUUUGA
rnacentral:lncRNA from 1 species